AUUGAACGCUGGCGGCAGGCUUAACACAUGCAAGUCGAACGAGUGGCGGACGGGUGAGUAAUGCUUGGGAAUCUGCCCGAUAGAGGGGGAUAACUACGGGAAACGGUGGCUAAUACCGCAUACUAUCGGAUGAACCCAUCUGGGAGUAGCUAGUAGGUGGGGUAAAGGCUCACCUAGGCGACGAUCUCUAGAUGGUCUGAGAGGAUGACCAGCCAGUCUGGUACUGAGACCCGGCCCAGACUCCUACGUGAGGCAGCAGUGGGUAAUAUUGCGCAAUGGGCGCAACCCUGACGCAGCCAUGCCGCGUGAAUGAAUAAGGCCUUCGGGUUGUAAAGUUCUUUCGGUAGCGAGGCGUUAACUACAGAAGAAGCACCGGCUAACUCCGUGCCAGCAGCCGCGGUAAUAC
rnacentral:rRNA from 1 species